rnacentral:rRNA from 1 species
UACGGAGGGUGCGAGCGUUAAUCGGAAUUACUGGGCGUAAAGCGCACGUAGGCGGUUUGUUAAGCAAGAUGUGAAAGCCUAGGGCUCAACCUUGGAAUAGCAUUUUGAACUGGCAAGCUAGAGUUUUGAAGAGGGUGGUAGAAUUUCCAGUGUAGCGGUGAAAUGCGUAGAUAUUGGAAGGAAUACCAGUGGCGAAGGCGGCCACCUGGUCAAAAACUGACGCUGAGGAGCGAAAGCGUGGGGAGCAAACAGG